GUGGGGAAUAUUGGACAAUGGGCGAAAGCCUGAUCCAGCCAUGCCGCGUGUGUGAAGAAGGUCUUCGGAUUGUAAAGCACUUUAAGUUGGGAGGAAGGGCAGUAAGCUAAUACCUUGCUGUUUUGACGUUACCGACAGAAUAAGCACCGGCUAACUUCGUGCCAGCAGCCGCGGUAAUACGAAGGGUGCAAGCGUUAAUCGGAAUUACUGGGCGUAAAGCGCGCGUAGGUGGUUUUGUAAGUUGAAGGUGAAAUCCCCGGGCUCAACCUGGGAACUGCCUCCAAAACUGCAUGACUAGAGUACGGUAGAGGGUAGUGGAAUUUCCCGUGUAGCGGUGAAAUGCGUAGAUAUAGGAAGGAACACCAGUGGCGAAGGCGACUACCUGGACUGAUACUGACACUGAGGUGCGAAAGCGUGGGGAGCAAACAGGAUUAGAUACCCGAGUAGUCC
rnacentral:rRNA from 1 species